AAUUACAUCAUCUCCGGUUUGGUCGGGCUGUGUGUAAAGAGGAUGCCUCUUUACACACAGCCCGACCAAACCGGAGAUGAUGUAAUU